rnacentral:rRNA from 1 species
GACGAACGCUGGCGGCGUGCCUAAUACAUGCGAGUUGAGCGAUGAAGAUUGGUGCUUGCACCAAUUUGAAGAGCAGCGAACGGGUGAGUAACGCGUGGGGAAUCUGCCUUUGAGCGGGGGACAACAUUUGGAAACGAAUGCUAAUACCGCAUAACAACUUUAAACAUAAGUUUUAAGUUUGAAAGAUGCAAUUGCAUCACUCAAAGAUGAUCCCGCGUUGUAUUAGCUAGUUGGUGAGGUAAAGGCUCACCAAGGCGAUGAUACAUAGCCGACCUGAGAGGGUGAUCGGCCACAUUGGGACUGAGACACGGCCCAAACUCCUACGGGAGGCAGCAGUAGGGAAUCUCCGGCAAUGGACGAAAGUCUGACCGAGCAACGCCGCGUGAGUGAAGAAGGUUUUCGGAUCGUAAAACUCUGUUGGUAGAGAAGAACGUUGGUGAGAGUGGAAAGCUCAUCAAGUGACGGUAACUACCCAGAAAGGGACGGCUAACUACGUG